UCGGUGGUCUGGCCGCGAUGGGGCAGAACGUCGCCACCAGCGGCGCGGACGACCGGCAGGGCGUCGUGCACCGGCUCGACGUCGGCACCACCGGGC
rnacentral:tRNA from 1 species